CUCUAUACGAAAAUGUUCUGGGUUUGAACCCCGGGGUCCGCAGUCUGCCCUGCACUACCUGCUCCUUAAAGGUGAUGUAUGUGAGUUAAAGGUGAUGUAGGUGAGUUAAAGGUGACGUAUUAUGUUAAAGGUGAUGUAUGUGAGUUAAAGGUGCUGUAGGUGAGUUAAAGGUGAUGUAUGUAAGUUAAAGGUGCUGUAGGUGAGUUAAAGGUGAUGUAGGUGUGUUAAAGGUGACGUAUUAUGUUAAAGGUGAUGUAUGUGACUUAAAGGGGACGUAGGUGAGUUAAAGGUGAUGUAGGUGAGGUAAAGGUGAUGUAGGUGAGGUAAAGGUGACGUAUCAUGUUAAAGGGGAUGCAUGUGACUAAAAGGGGACGUAGGUGAGU
ensembl:lncRNA